UGCAAUUAGAGCGAAUCUUUGGGAGCUUGCUCCCAUUGGUUAGCGGCGGACGGGUGAGUAACACGUGGGCAACCUGCCUGUAAGACUGGGAUAACUUCGGGAAACCGGAGCUAAUACCGGAUAAUCUUUUUCCUCUCAUGAGGAAAAACUGAAAGACGGUUUCGGGUGUGACUUACAGAUGGGCCCGCGGCGCAUUAGCUAGUUGGUGAGGUAACGGGUCACCAAGGCGACGAUGCUUAGCCGACCUGAGAGGGUGAUCGGCGCACACUGGGACUGAGACACGGCCCAGACUCCUACGGGAGGCAGCAGUAGGGAAUCUUCCACAAUGGACGAAAGUCUGAUGGAGCAACGCCGCGUGAGCGAUGAAGGCCUUCGGGUCGUAAAGCUCUGUUGUUAGGGAAGAACAAGUAUCGGAGUAACUGCCGGUACCUUGACGGUACCUAACCAGAAAGCCACGGCUAACUACGUGCCAGCAGCCGCGGUAAUACGUAGGUGGCAAGCGUUGUCCGGAAUUAUUGGGCGUAAAGCGCGCGCAGGCGGUCCUUUAAGUCUGAUGUGAAAGCCCACGGCUCAACCGUGGAGGGUCAUUGGAAACUGGGGGACUUGAGUGCAGAAGAGGAAAGCGGAAUUCCACCGUGUAGCGGUGAAAUGCGUAGAGAUGUGGAGGAACACCAGUGG
rnacentral:rRNA from 1 species